ACUAGCUGUGUGAACUUGGGCAAAUGACCUAAUCCUCUGCGUUUCAUCUUUAAACUGGGGAGAAUAGAAGCAUCUACUUCAUCUAGUAGCCAGGAUUAGAAGAGGGAGGAAUAAGUGGGCCCCAGAUAGAAUGUGAUGAAUGAAUAUUCUUAAUGAGAAGUGGAAAUAAUUUGUGGUUGAGAGCUGUGCCUCAGAUCAGAGUGACAGGAUACAGGGCUAGGCUAUAUUUUCCAGCAGAUUAAGAACUAUAGCCCAAGACUCUGAAAUAUGAAGAAAAAAGGAGAAGAUGACAGGAUAUCUUUUUAAAGAAAUAUUUUCCAGCUAAAUGGUGCAACAGAGGA